rnacentral:lncRNA from 1 species
UUUUUUGUUUUUUUUUUAAGAUUUUAUUUAUCUAUUCAUGAUAGAUACAGAGAGAGAUAAAAACAUAGGCAGAGGCAGAGGCAGUGGGACUCGAUCCCAGGACCCCGGGAUCACAACCUGAGCCAAAGGCAGACCCUCAACCACUGAGCCCUGCAAGUGUUGGAUUUAAGCUGUCUUGUAAAAUCAUAAGCCCAAGAAGAAACAUCUUAAUGUUUAGGAUUUCUGUUUUUAACUUAUAUUUUUAUUUUAUUUUACAAAAAAAAGAGAGACUCUAUUAUUUCUCAUAUAUUCUAUUUCAUGUGAGAAUAAAUAAACUUAUUGAGCCUAUUCACUUCUUAGGAGAAACAUCAAGCACUUUUCAAAAGGUGGAUGCCUCUCUCACCUCUCUCACCAAAGGUGGAACCCUCAUCUCACCUCUCCAGUCACUUUUUUUUCAGUGAUUUAUUGGAAAUGAAGUCUAGAUCCAUAGUUAAACAUAUGCACACAGAGAUACACAUAUACGUGUUAUUGUAAUAUUAGUAUGGAUUUAUAUUACAUAUAUGUGCAUGUGUGUACAUGUAAUAUAAAUUGUGUGUGUGUGUGCGUGUGUGUGGUUUUUGUUUGCUUGGUUUAGGGCCCAAAUAUCUAUUUACUUUUCAAAAAACAUUAGGAAGUAUUUAUUUUUGGAAAGGCAUGUGGAACAACACACCGCAAUUUGGGCUGGCCAAAUUUUGAAGUAGCCAAUAGCCAUAUAUGGAAAGUGGCUACCCUAUUAGCUCAGAUCAACAUAAAAGACCAAUGCAUGUUUACUGUACUAUACUUGCAAUUUUCUGUACGUUUUUAAGUUUUCAAAGUAAGAAGUUGGAGGGAAAAGACAUAUAAAAAAACUUCCAAUCACAUGCCCUCUGCUUUGAAUAGUUUACUCCUUCUAAUCCCAGCUGACACAUGUUUAACACAUAUUUUUGCUUUUCAAGCAGUGGUAUUCCCACAGGACCAUAUUAUGGACUUUUCAUUCUUUGCAUAGUUUCAUGACUCUUAAAAAUGAUGUCACAUAACAAGCAAACUAACUACUAAUGACAGUGAAAUGAGAAAAGGGUCCUUGGCAUGGGUCAAAAAGCCAUAUGUAUAAUUUUUAAAUCAAUGCUUUAAUUUCUGGUUGAGUAAGAGAUAUGGCAACUUGCUUGACUGCUCCCCCAAGUACCUGUUGUUCUUGUCUUGAACUAGAAUCACAGCUCUGCACUCUGGUUCAGGAGGUGGCGUCCUCUCCAACCUCAUCU